GUUGCACUUGACUAUGAGCAAGAAUUGGAGACCGCCAGGAGUAGCUCAGCUGUUGAAAAAAGCUAUGAGUUACCAGAUGGUCAGGUGAUUACCAUUGGAGCAGAGAGGUUCAGAUGCCCGGAAGUCUUAUUUCAGCCGUCACUUGUGGGAAUGGAAGCUGCUGGAAUCCAUGAAACAACUUACAAUUCCAUCAUGAAGUGCGAUGUAGAUAUCAGAAAGGAUCUUUAUGGCAACAUUGUCCUCAGUGGUGGAACAACAAUGUUUCCUGGUAUUGCUGAUCGUAUGAGCAAGGAAAUUACCGCUCUUGCUCCCAGCAGUAUGAAAAUCAAGGUAGUGGCGCCUCCUGAACGGAAGUACAGUGUCUGGAUUGGAGGGUCUAUCUUAGCUUCUCUCAGCACCUUCCAACAGAUGUGGAUUACGAAGGGUGAAUAUGAUGAAUCUGGCCCUUCCAUUGUCCACCGUAAAUGCUUCUAAGCUGAUCGAUGAACGGAGUUCAAUCUUCUCAUGAUCUGCUUCAACAGUUCGGUCGUAGUUCUGAGCAGGAGUUUGUUUAAGUUGGAAUGUUUUUUUGAGUUUCAUAAAGAUGAAGGUUUAUACUGUGCGAUAAUAGGGUGUAAGCUUUUAGAUUGUACCCAAUCUUUUCUUAAUGUCAUUUGAGUGUUUAGAGGUGAUUUCUUUCCUCCUUGCUUUUAAUUUCCUUGUUCUUCUGUAUUUUUGGAUUGUUUUUUCUGUGUAUACCGAGUAAUAUAAUGUCAGUUCAUG
rnacentral:misc_RNA from 1 species